CAGAGUAUGGCAUUCCACAGGUGUCAGUUCCAUCACAACUAGAUAAUGGAAUCUGACUUUCUAAUAUAGGGUCCAGCAAUCCUCUACUUGAACCAUAAUCCAGAUUUGUGAUGCUUUCAGCAAAUUCAAUAUCUAACAGAUAAUCUUCACAUGGAGUGGAAAGAUCAUUUUGUGCUUGAAUUUUUCCAGCCUCAAAUUGACUUCGCUUUAGAUCAAGGACAUCUUGG
rnacentral:misc_RNA from 1 species